AGAGCUUCAAGAGACUGUUCAAUACCCCGUGGAGCAUCCAGAGAAGUUCGAGAAAUUUGGUAUGUCACCUUCAAAAGGUGUUCUUUUCUAUGGUCCUCCGGGAUGUGGGAAAACUCUUCUUGCCAAGGCAAUUGCAAAUGAGUGUCAAGCCAAUUUCAUUAGUGUCAAAGGACCUGAGCUGCUUACCAUGUGGUUUGGAGAGAGUGAGGCCAAUGUCCGUGAAAUUUUUGACAAGGCUAGACAAUCUGCACCCUGUGUCCUCUUCUUUGAUGAGCUUGACUCUAUUGCUACUCAGAGGGGCAGCAGCAGUGGAGAUGCUGGAGGAGCAGCUGAUCGUGUUUUGAACCAACUUCUGACUGAAAUGGAUGGCAUGAAUGCAAAGAAGACUGUUUUUAUAAUUGGGGCCACAAACAGGCCUGAUAUUAUUGACCCUGCACUUCUGCGACCCGGUCGACUUGACCAGUUAAUUUAUAUCCCACUGCCAGACGAAGACUCGCGCCAUCAGAUUUUCAAGGCAUGUCUCAGAAAAUCUCCCUUAUCAAAGGAUAUUGAUCUGAGAGCUCUCGCCAAACAUACUCAAGGAUUUAGUGGGGCUGAUAUCACUGAGAUUUGUCAACGAUCCUGCAAAUAUGCCAUAAGGGAGAACAUAGAGAAAGAUAUAGAAAGGGAGAAGAGAAGACAGGAGAAUCCCGAUUCGAUGGAUGAGGAUCUCGAUGAAGUACCGGAGAUCAAACCCGCUCACUUUGAGGAGUCUAUGAAGUAUGCCCGUCGAAGUGUCAGCGAUGCUGAUAUACGCAAAUACCAGGCAUUUGCUCAGACAUUACAGCAGUCUAGAGGUUUUGGAACAGAAUUUCGAUUUGCAGAGACUAGUAGCGGCGGGACUGCUGCAGCUGACCCAUUUGCAACUUCUAAUGCCGCAGCCGAUGAUGAUGACCUAUAUAGCUGAAGUUCUAGUUUUUCCUUGUUAUUUUACUGCAAAUCUCCUUCUCGGGUUAAACUCGAAUUUGGGAACCUAGUACUCGUUUCUGGAUCUCGGGUUUUGACUUUUUAGAACGUUAAGAUAAUUUAAAUUUACAGUUUAACACUUAUUUAUAUCCUGGCGAAUAUUUUUUU
rnacentral:misc_RNA from 1 species